AUGGUAUUCUCUUUGGUUCUUAGAACGGGUUGGCUUAAUGGGGGAAAUAUUAAUAGCACUGGUGUCAGUGGAAGUGACCUUGAGCCACAUAGGAAGAUUUUGAUAAAACGUGUCACUCUUGUUACCUAUCAGGAUCAAACUGCAUCAUGGAAGCUGCACACGAUGACACCCUGUCUGGAAAGUUUUUGCCAGACGGCAAAAGACUGCAAGCAGAAUAUCCCUUCGCCAUUUCUCAUGAAGCCCUGGAGAGGAUCGUUCAUGGAAACAAGGAUGACGACUGUGCUGAAUCUCCCCAAGCCCCACGUCUGCGGCAAAGUCUUCGUGGUGAAACAGGCAGUCUUCAGUAUGAGACGCAUCGAUCUCAGAUCUUAUUCAAUUCCAACUUGUACCAAUCAAAGGCCCUCCCAGCGAAAAUAA
rnacentral:lncRNA from 1 species